rnacentral:lncRNA from 1 species
GUGUCACAAAGCCUUAAUAUUAAAAAUAGUUAUAUUAAAGAAUAAGCACAUAAGUUCCAUGGUUAAGCAAUCAUUUACCGUCUUGGAAAAUAUAGUUUCAGUUUCAAGUUUCACACUUCCAGUUUUUCCAGGAGGGGCCAGGUUUGAAUUUGGCUUAUUAACUAAAAUUAAUCUUAUGGAAGCUGAGAUUACUUAUUCUUAUCUUUGUAAGCUGGGAUUGCUUGUACUACUAGUGAUGAUUGUUCAAAAAAGUUUUUUGAAGAAAGAAGAGUGCCAUUUCUUAAUUGAUAAAUAUAAAAAACUGAAGCUUCUCCAAAUUCACACUUCUGCUACUAAACUAUAAAGACUACUAAAGUUCUAAAAACGAAUCUAUUUUCAGAAAUAUUGGUGAUCCUAUUAUGGCUUACCUCAGCUGCUUGCUUAAAUAAGACAAUGCUUCUG